UCGACGAAACGAUACCGACGGACGGGUUCGUCAGAAAUUCGUCGGAAUCGGUCUAUUCCGACGAAUUUCCGACGAUUUCGGCCAUCAGAAUCCCCCUGUUUUCUUGUAGUGAUACGUUGCAUAAUGGCUAACUAAAAAGAUCAACCGUAGAAGAAAAACAAACUAUAUUCUGAUAAUGUCCCAAAACUCUGAUCAACCAGCAUAACGAUACGUCUUACUAAAUUUUACCAUUAAAAAGGCUAUCAAACAUCUUGGUUAAGAACAUACCUUAGCUUAGGGUUUCAUGAAUCAGUCGUUGAAGUGUCGAUAUCGGUUGAUUAAAAUCCACUUUGCCUAAAAAAAUUACUAAAAGAUUGAUUAAAUAAUAAAAGCUCUUUAUAUAUAUAUGAGUUCACAAUUCAAUACCUUCUUUUAAUAGGACUCAAUAACAGUUACUAUAAAUUCCUAGUUCUCAAAGUAUUUGGAGUUUUCUCCUUUUGUAUGUAUCACAUUUUUAAUUUAACUUGCUGAUAUUUAAUUUUUCUUUUAGGUUUCAGGCUCUGCAGUCUGAUUGAACUUCUCUUCUUGCCAGACCUUAUUAAGUUUGUUUAAUCUCAUGCUUAGUGUAGU
rnacentral:lncRNA from 1 species